rnacentral:rRNA from 1 species
UAGGAACGCCCCGACCAUACUCCGAGAACGUCAGAAACUAAGAUCACGGAAGCGUUUCUUACAAACUGCCACCGACUACGCGAGCAAUGUUCGCUGGUGGACGUCCGUGUUUUUUACUGUGACUAAAGAAGUGCGACCAAGGCAGUCCAUCGACAUGAAUUAGAAAGCAUGGGAUAACAAAGCUGCAGCCUAUGAGCUACCGUUUAGGCUUUUGUUGGUUUUAAAGGUUCGUGGGAGAUUACGGGCGUGUAGGACCGGCGUUGGGGGUUUUCCAAAAUCCCCGCGUCUCCUCCUGGCAUCGGAAACGGCGCUUGCGGGGCCUGCUUCGCUCAGGAAUGAAGGAGGGUUGCUCGGGGGAAAACGUACUUGGGCGUGAGAGGUGAAAUUCUUAGACCGCCCAAAGACGAGCUACAGCGAAGGCAUUUUCCAAGGAUACCUUCCUCAAUCAAGAACCAAAGUGUGGGGAUCGAAGAUGAUUAGAGACCAUUGUAGUCCACACCACAAACGAUGACCCCCAUGAAUUGGGGAGUUUUUGCGGAGGCGCCUCCCGGCUUGUCCGGGUGGGCGUCC